CUGUACUCUGGCCUCGGUCUAAAGUGCUGCUCUGUGGCAGCAAAUAGCUGCUCGAUACCUGGACCUUUGUUCGGAUUGUUUCUGGCCGGUUCGUCACCGAGUUCGACGUCUAGGGGGUCCACCAUUACAGUUGUUGGAACGGUGCACCAGUUCUGGUGUCUGAAGUCACAGGGAAGAUUUUCAAAUCGUGCUCUUGCCGAUCUUGAGUAGGGUCUACUACAGGCUGAGGAAGCAUCAUAUCCAAAGUUUCCCGAACUGCCACCUCUGAAGCUUUGACAUCUACUCAACUGCAAUUUAAGAACCUGAAAAGCCAAGACCCUAGAGAUAUACACAGUACAGGCUUAGCAACAGAACCAGCUGCAUCCGUGUAGGGUAUGACUUUUUAAUGGGAAGCCGGUGGCUCGGUAACUACGGGGAUGCACGUUCAAUCAGGCCCACAACUGCAGGCGUACUAACACGUUUUCAUGAGUACCUAACUUGAAUAGGUGUUCUUUGAAGCGGAAGUCAAGCAACACUUUCACCUCGAAGGUGGUCAGGCAGAAGGCUGUCUGAUUAGGGAUUAGGAGCAAUGUACCCAAGAAAAACACGUUGGUCACAGUGACGUCAAACCAACGUCUACUCGAUGGUUCAAAACGAACAGCGAAAUCACAUACUAAACGUAUAUGAAUUUGAAAUGUAUUUUUGCUCAUAUGAUUCCGUUUUAGCAUUACCAUGCAGCUGAUCUUUCAGAAUUGAAUAAAUUUACCUUAAAUGUAAUUUUGGGAAACUACGUAUGAUCAGGGGAUUGAUUUCGUAUUUUCAGCGUUGCUUUUUCUCAGAAUUUGACUAUUGUUUGAAAAAUCAGCAUGUAGUUUCGCUCUAAAUUUUUGUUUGCAGAAAAAAAAAGUACGAAAACUAGAAGAUACCUUUGAUAAACCCUACAAAACUUGCAUGGCUGCACGUGACAUAUUUUAUGGAAAUUCGUAGCCAUAAUAUUCAAACAUGUAACGCCAUUUUGAUUUCGGUACCGUAGACGUAGAAUUAAUGCCAAUUUAACCAGUAUGGAAAAAACACGUAAGGCGCCAAUGUGCUCAUAUGAGAAGAAAGCGAGUUCGAGGAACGCUGCGGCGAGGACGAACUUGAAAGAUAUUGACGUUUUUAAGGAGAUACGUUCCGGCGGUGAUCUCCCGUGCUUAUAAUACUUUCUUAUACGUCUCCAGAGAUUUACAGCAGCCACUCACUAGCAGCGGAUCUGAUAGGUUCGUGACCCACCAGCCCACUUAUUGAGCCUGGAAAAAGUCUAAAGCCUGGAACUUGAAAGAAGUAAUAAAAAUCUAAACUACAGACAUCUUGCAGAAAAUGGGUCACACCGUUGAACUAAUACCAACAAAACUAUGGGAUCGCGUAGAAAUCAACAUUUGCGGAAGGAUAAUACAUCGAAUGAAAUUAACGGACUUGAAAAUAAACCCGAGAAGUAUAGAAGAUGAUACGUUUGGUCAUCACGCAAUUAACGCUGUCGUGCAGGCUCUGACGAGAAUAACAAAUGCACAACUUCGAAAGGAUCUGACUUAUGAGAGGAUAUUAUGAAGUGAAAUAAAACAAUAAUUUUUCUUAAGGUUUGACUGAUUUCUACCCGUUAUGUAACUCUCACAUGCUAAGAUAGUCUAUAUUGUGUUAGUGAAAAGUCAGGCUGUC
rnacentral:lncRNA from 1 species